AAGUGUUUAUUUCCCCAAGGAACUAUUUUUGCCUAUUUAGGAGAGAUAACUUACCUCCAAUUUCAAAUACACAUUUUAAAAUAAUGUACUUAUUUUAAAAAACAAAGGGCAUAAUUCUAUUUAAACUAGGACCAAAAUGAAAUCCUAUUUGUGCUAUAAACAACUACACAGACCUCUAUCCAAUUCUUCUCUCUUGCAUCAACUUCUAAUAAAGUGUUUUUCAUCUUACCC
rnacentral:lncRNA from 1 species